rnacentral:rRNA from 1 species
GACGAACGCUGGCGGCGCGCUUAACACAUGCAAGUCGAGCGAGAACCCACCUUCGGGUGGGGGAAAGCGGCGAACGGGUGAGUAACACGUGGGCAACCCACCCUUGGUAUCCGGAUAGCCCGGGGAAACCCGGAUUAAUACGGAAUGGCCCAACAGCUCUUCGGGGCGGUUGGAAAAGGUAGCUUCGGCCUCCGACCAAGGACGGGCCCGCGGUGGAUUAGCUUGUUGGUGAGGUAACGGCCCACCAAGGCGACGAUCCAUAGCUGGUCUGAGAGGACGAUCAGCCACACUGGGACUGAGACACGGCCCAGACUCCUACGGGAGGCAGCAGUGGGGAAUCUUGCGCAAUGGGCGAAAGCCUGACGCAGCGACGCCGCGUGGGGGAUGACGGCCUCGGUU